rnacentral:misc_RNA from 1 species
AAAGUCGUAACAAGGUUUCCGUAGGUGAACCUGCGGAAGGAUCAUUAACAAAUCAUGAUGUAUGGCAGUAGUAGCAAUACUCUGCUAAUACAAUAUCAACCCGAACCUGUGUUCCAGUAACAUGGAACCAGGCAAGGUGUGGGCUUCGGCCCGCGGUGACGACGCAAGUCUGAUCCACAUAGACGCUUGUUUUUGUUUGACAGAUUUCAAUUGUAUCCAAAAUUAAAUGACAACUUUUAACAAUGGAUCUCUUGGCUCUU